rnacentral:misc_RNA from 1 species
AAGUCGUAACAAGGUCUCCGUAGGUGAACCUGCGGAGGGAUCAUUAACACUAUUUGGCCUUGCUGUUGUGGCAACACUUCUGCAAGGUUCAAAUCUUCCACACACCGCGUGCACUCGGUUACCUCGGUAACCAUUUCAAACUAUUUCGAGGGUUAGGUGACGAUGCGACGAAGUGAGCCUUAGUUGAAUCAUCCAUUGAAACUUGUUUCAUGGGGGUGUUUCGACGCAGGCAGCAACUCUUCCGUCCUUCGAGAUAGUUCUUUUUGGGGAUGUGACACUUCACGCAUCCGGCCCCCUUGCCAUUUUCACCCUUUAAGCCAAUGUACUGAUGUGACGAAGUAAACUGAAAAGUUUAUCUUCUCAAGAAUCCAACUAAGCACAACUCUUAGCAACGGAUAUCUUGGUUCUC